GACGAACGCUGGCGGCGUGCUUAACACAUGCAAGUCGAACGGAAAGGCCCUGCUUUUGUGGGGUGCUCGAGUGGCGAACGGGUGAGUAACACGUGAGUAACCUGCCCUUGACUUUGGGAUAACUUCAGGAAACUGGGGCUAAUACCGGAUAGGAGCUCCUGCUGCAUGGUGGGGGUUGGAAAGUUUCGGCGGUUUGGGAUGGACUCGCGGCUUAUCAGCUUGUUGGUGGGGUAGUGGCUUACCAAGGCAUUGACUGGUAGCCGGCCUGAGAGGGUGACCGGCCACAAUGGGACUGAGAUACGGCCCAGACUCCUACGGGAGGCAGCAGUGGGGAAUAUUGCACAAUGGGCGGAAGCCUGAUGCAGCAACGCCGCGUGCGGGAUGACGGCCUUCGGGUUGUAAACCGCUUUCGCCUGUGACGAAGCGUGAGUGACGGUAAUGGGUAAAGAAGCACCGGCUAACUACGUG
rnacentral:rRNA from 1 species